rnacentral:rRNA from 1 species
AGAGUUUGAUCCUGGCUCAGAACGAACGCUGGCGGCAUGGCUAAGACAUGCAAGUCGAACGAACCAUUUUGAAGAGUAAUCGGACAUUUGGUGAGUGGCGAAAGGGUGAGGAAUAAAUAGGUACGUACCAUUGGCUUCGGAAUAGCUCAUCGAAAGGUGAGGUAAUACCGGAUAAUACCGAAAGGUCAAAGAUUUAUCGGCUAUUGAGCGGCCUAUUUCCUAUCAGCUAGUUGGUGAGGUAAUGGCUCACCAAGGCGACGACGGGUAGCGGGACUGAGAGGUUGGCCCGCCACAUCGGGACUGAGACACUGCCCGGACCUCCACGGAGGGCUGCAGUAACGAAUAUUGGGCAAUGGGCGAAAGCCUGACCCAGCAAUGCCGCGUGUAGGAUGAAGCCCCUCGGGGUGUAAACUACUUUCAGGGACUAGAAAGCUACGGCUGAUCAAUCCCAGAAGAAGUCACGGCUAACUUCGUGCCAGCAGCCGCGGUAAUACGAAGGUGGCAAGCGUUGUUCGGAAUCACUGGGCUUAAAGGGCGCGUAGGCGGAAAUGUAAGUGUUUUGUGAAAUCCCACGGCUUAACCGUGGAAUUGCUUGGCAAACUACAUUUCUUGAGGCAAGUAGGGGUGUGUGGAACUCUUGGUGGAGCGGUGAAUGCGUAGAUAUCAAGAGGAACGCCGAAGGUGAAGACAGCACACUAGACUUGUCCUGACGCUGAGGCGCGAAAGCGUGGGGAGCAAACAGGAUUAGAUACCCUGGUAGUCCACGCCGUAAACGAUGUCUACUAGGUUGUGGGGGUUCUGACACCUUCACAGUCGAAGCAAAAGUGUUAAGUAGACCGCCUGGGGAGUACGGUCGCAAGGCUAAAACUCAAAGGAAUUGACGGGGGCUCACACAAGCGGUGGAGCAUGUGGAUUAAUUCGAAACAACGCGCAGAACCUUACCUGGGUUUGACAUGCAUGGAUGCCAAUCUGGAAACAGAGGAAGCUGCCCUCGGGUGAAACUUGCACAGGUGCUGCAUGGCUGUCGUCAGCUCGUGUCGUGAGAUGUCGGGUUAAGUCCUUUAACGAGCGAAACCCUUACCGUUAGUUGCCAGCGCGUCAUGGCGGGGACUCUAGCGGGACUGCCGGUGUUAAACCGGAGGAAGGUGGGGAUGACGUCAAGUCCUCAUGGCCUUUAUGCCCAGGGCUUCACACGUGCUACAAUGGUAGGUACAAAGCGACGCGAUACCGCGAGGUGGAGCAAAUCGCAAAAAACCUGCCCCAGUUCAGAUUGUAGGCUGGCAACUCGCCUACAUGAAGUUGGAAUCGCUAGUAAUCGCAUAUCAGCGAUGAUGCGGUGAAUGUGUUCCUGAGCCUUGUACACACCGCCCGUCAAGUGAUGGAAGUUGGGAGUACCCGAAGUCGGAUUGUUAACCUUUUAGGAGACGUCUGCCGACGGUAAGCUCGAUGACUGGCACUAAGUCGUAACAAGGUA